rnacentral:rRNA from 1 species
AUUGAACGCUGGCGGCAUGCUUUACACAUGCAAGUCGGACGGCAGCACAGAGAAGCUUGCUUCUUGGGUGGCGAGUGGCGAACGGGUGAGUAAUAUAUCGGAACGUACCGAGUAAUGGGGGAUAACUAAUCGAAAGAUUAGCUAAUACCGCAUAUUCUCUGAGGAGGAAAGCAGGGGACCUUCGGGCCUUUCGUUAUUCGAGCGGCCGCGAUCUGAUUACCUGGUUGGUGGGGUAAAGGCCUACCAAGGCGACGAUCAGUAGCGGGUCUGAGAGGAUGAUCCGCCAACUGGGGACGGAGAACCGGCCCAGACUCCAACGGGAGGCAGAAGGGGGGAAUUUUGGACAAGGGGCGAAAGCCUGAUCCAGCCAUGCCGGGGGGCUGAAGAAGGCCUUCGGGUGGUAAAGGACUUUUGUCAGGGAAGAAAAGGCUGUUGCUAAUAUCGACAGCUGAGGACGGUACCUGAAGAAUAAGCACCGGCUAACUACGU